rnacentral:rRNA from 1 species
AGUUGCGAAGGCGGCUCUCUGGACUGUAACUGACGCUGAGGCACGAAAGCGUGGGGAGCAAACAGGAUUAGAUACCCUGGUAGUCCACGCUGUAAACGAUGAGUACUAGGUGUCGGGGGUUACCCCCCUCGGUGCCGCAGCUAACGCAUUAAGUACUCCGCCUGGGAAGUACGCUCGCAAGAGGGAAACUCAAAGGAAUUGACGGGGACCCGCACAAGUAGCGGAGCAUGUGGUUUAAUUCGAAGCAACGCGAAGAACCUUACCUAAGCUUGACAUCCCAAUGACAUCUCCUUAAUCGGAGAGUUCCCUUC